rnacentral:rRNA from 1 species
AGUCGAGCGGAAACGAUGGGAGCUUGCUCCCAGGCGUCGAGCGGCGGACGGGUGAGUAAUACUUAGGAAUCUACCUAGUAGUGGGGGAUAGCUCGGGGAAACUCGAAUUAAUACCGCAUACGUCCUACGGGAGAAAGCAGGGGAUCAUUAGACCUUGCGCUAUUAGAUGAGCCUAAGUCGGAUUAGCUAGUUGGUGGGGUAAAGGCCUACCAAGGCGACGAUCUGUAGCUGGUCUGAGAGGAUGAUCAGCCACACCGGGACUGAGACACGGCCCGGACUCCUACGGGAGGCAGCAGUGGGGAAUAUUGGACAAUGGGGGGAACCCUGAUCCAGCCAUGCCGCGUGUGUGAAGAAGGCCUUUUGGUUGUAAAGCACUUUAAGCAGUGAAGAAGACUCUUCGGUUAAUACCCGGGGACGAUGACAUUAGCUGCAGAAUAAGCACCGGCUAACUCUGUGCCAGCAGCCGCGGUAAUACAGAGGGUGCAAGCGUUAAUCGGAAUUACUGGGCGUAAAGCGAGCGUAGGUGGCUUGAUAAGUCAGAUGUGAAAUCCCCGGGCUUAACCUGGGAACUGCAUCUGAAACUGUUAGGCUAGAGUAGGUGAGAGGGAAGUAGAAUUUCAGGUGUAGCGGUGAAAUGCGUAGAGAUCUGAAGGAAUACCGAUGGCGAAAGCAGCUUCCUGGCAUCAUACUGACACUGAGGCUCGAAAGCGUGGGUAGCAAACAGGA